rnacentral:rRNA from 1 species
AACGAACGCUGGCGGCAGGCUUAACACAUGCAAGUCGAACGCUCCGCAAGGAGAGUGGCAGACGGGUGAGUAACACGUGGGAACGUACCCUUUACUACGGAACAACUCCGGGAAACUGGAGCUAAUACCGUAUGUGCCCUUCGGGGGAAAGAUUUAUCGGUAAAGGAUCGGCCCGCGUUGGAUUAGCUAGUUGGUGGGGUAAAGGCCUACCAAGGCGACGAUCCAUAGCUGGUCUGAGAGGAUGAUCAGCCACAUUGGGACUGAGACACGGCCCAAACUCCUACGGGAGGCAGCAGUGGGGAAUAUUGGACAAUGGGCGCAAGCCUGAUCCAGCCAUGCCGCGUGUGUGAUGAAGGCCUUAGGGUUGUAAAGCACUUUCUCCGGAGAAGAUAAUGACGGUAUCCGGAGAAGAAGCCCCGGCUAACUUCGUGCCAGCCGCCGCGGUAA